UUUUAUCCUUCGUCUCGCUGCAACGGUUCUUACUUGAAGUAGAUCGAGAACUUGUGUUUCGCGAUUUCUUCAAUUUCAAAUUUUUCUGUUAUCUGGAUUCUUUUUUAUUCCCCCCGAGAUUUCUAUUGCUGUCAAUUUUCCGUUGAAAAGUUUUGUACGUUUCAGUUUAAUCCAUCGAAUCUAUAAUCUUCCGAUUGAUUUUUUUUUUAAUUCCAUUUCCAUCGGUUGAAAAGGAAUUUUCUUCAGUAUCUUCAAUAGAUUUUCAAGCGACAUUCUCUUUGUAUCUUUUCGAAUUUUGUUUUCUCGGAAAGUGAGGAAGCCUUUGGAGAAACUGUUUGGACUUCCGUUACUCUCUCCGACGGUUUUUCUCAAGUUUCCGAUUCGUUGAUUGUUGAGCUUUCCAAGGGUUUCGCCUUGUCUUCGUCUCUCUCAGUGAUGGGUUGCGCUUAUUCCAAAACUUGCAUUGGUCAGAUUUGCGCGACGAAGGAAAACAGCAUCAGGCAAACUCAUCAACAGGCUCCGGCGAGAGGCACGAAAGCUGCUUCGACCGCGACUCCGGCGGCGGCGGCGGCGACGACCGAGGGAGAGAAUCCGGUGUUCAAUUUCUCUUCAGAUGCAGUGGAUGAUGAAGACGACGACGAGAUUCAUCAGCUGAGCUUGAGCAGAGACCAGGAAUGGGGAAUCACUCGGCUUUCUAGGGUUUCUGCUCAAUUUCUACCACCAGAUGGGUCAAGGAUUGUCAAGGUCCCGUCUUGUAACUAUGAAUUGAGAUACUCGUUUCUCUCCCAAAGAGGGUAUUACCCUGAUGCUCUAGACAAGGCCAAUCAAGAUAGCUUCGCGAUUCACACGCCUUUUGGGAGCAACUCGGAUGAUCACUUCUUUGGGGUUUUCGAUGGGCAUGGCGAGUUUGGUGCGCAGUGCUCGCAGUUUGUGAAGCGGAGGCUGUGCGAGAAUCUUCUUAGACAUGGUAGGUUUCGUGUCGACGCUGCAGAGGCUUGUAAUUCGGCCUUCUUGAGCACGAAUUCUCAGUUACAUGCUGAUGUAGUAGAUGAUAGUAUGAGUGGAACAACGGCCAUUACUGUUAUGGUUAGAGGAAGGACGAUAUACGUGGCGAAUGCAGGUGAUUCGAGGGCGGUUUUAGCUGAGAGGAGAGAAGGUGAUCUUGUUGCUGUUGAUUUGUCAAUUGAUCAGACUCCGUUUAGACCUGAUGAGCUGGAAAGGGUUAAGCUUUGUGGAGCUAGAGUUCUUACUCUUGAUCAGAUUGAAGGCUUGAAAAACCCUGAUGUUCAGUGUUGGGGUACCGAGGAAGACGAUGAUGGAGACCCUCCGAGACUUUGGGUGCCCAAUGGGAUGUACCCAGGAACUGCUUUUACAAGGAGUAUUGGUGAUUCUAUUGCAGAGACAAUUGGGGUUGUUGCUAACCCUGAGAUUGCUGUUGUUGAGCUCACACCGGAUAAUCCUUUCUUUGUGGUUGCUAGUGAUGGUGUCUUCGAGUUCAUCUCUAGUCAGACUGUGGUUGACAUGGUUGCAAAACAUAAGGAUCCUAGAGAUGCUUGUGCUGCGAUUGUUGCUGAAUCAUAUAGGCUAUGGCUACAGUAUGAAACUCGUACAGAUGAUAUAACCAUCAUUGUCGUGCACAUUAAUGGGCUGAAAGAUGAUGCUCCUCGCCAGUUGACGAGUACGGGGACUCAAUUGCAGCCUCCUAUUCCACAAGUUGUGGAGCUGACAGGUUCGGAAUCUCCUUCCACCUUUGGAUGGAACUCUAAAAACCAACGCGUGAGGCAUGAUUUAUCGCGGGCUAGAAUACGCGCCAUUGAGAGUUCACUAGAGAAUGGACAUGCUUGGGUUCCUCCAUCUCCAGCCCAUAGGAAAACCUGGGAAGAAGAAGCACACAUUGAGCGGGUGUUGCGUGACCAUUUCCUCUUCAGGAAACUCACUGAAUCUCAGUGCCAGGUUUUGCUGGAUUGCAUGCAAAGGCUUGAAGUUAAUCCAGGGGAUGUUGUUGUGAAACAGGGUGGUGAAGGGGACUGCUUCUACGUAGUGGGUAGUGGAGAAUUCGAGGUCUUGGCAACUCAGGUUUGUUCCAUAGAUGAAAAGAACGGCGACGUGCCUAGGAUCUUGCAGCGGUAUACAGCUGAGAAACAAUCAUCAUUCGGUGAACUCGCCUUGAUGCAUAACAAGCCGCUUCAGGCUUCUGUACGUGCUGUGGACCAUGGAACAUUGUGGGCCUUGAAAAGAGAAAAUUUUCGAGGAAUUCUGAUGUCUGAGUUUUCAAAUUUGGCAUCUUUGAAGCUUCUUCGUUCUGUCGAUCUUCUUUCCCGUCUUACAAUUUUGCAACUAAGCCAUGUUGCAGAAUCUCUUUCCGACGCUUGCUUCUCCGAUGGACAAACAAUAGUUAACAAGGACGAAAAACUUCAGGGCCUGUAUGUUAUCCAGAAGGGACUCGUGAAAAUUACUUUCGGCACAGAGUUGUUGGAAAGUCAAAAUGCUUCAAGCCUUAAAACUGAUAUCACUAAAGAGUAUGAGAAUCUUGAAACCGGAACAGAGGUCUCCAUAGAAAAGCAAGAAGGAAGUUACUUUGGUGAAUGGGCUCUUCUUGGCGAACUCAAAGACUCUUUAAAAGCAGUAGCAGUGGGCGAAGUUGUCUGUGUGAUUUUAACAAAAGAAAAUUUCGAUUCAGCGGUCGGACCUCUGACCAAUCUUUCAGAUGAUGGUCAUAAGUCAAGACAUUCUUCGUUUGAUAUGUCCAAGGAAUCUGCAAAAGUUACUGAUACCACAGCUCUUGCUAAAGCCACCCUUGCAGACCUGGAAUGGACAGCAUGCUUGAGUUCAACAGACUGCAGUGAGAUCGGGCUCGUGCAUUUGAAAGAUAAAGAAAAUUUGCUUAGCUUGAAAAGAUUUUCAAAGCAAAAGGUGAAGAAGCUAGGUAAAGAGGCACAAGUCUUGAAAGAGCGGAAUCUGAUGAAGAACGAAAUAAAGCCUUCAGCUUUUGUUCCUGGAAUCUUGUGCACUUGUGCUGAUCAAACAUAUGCAGCCAUAUUACUCAACACAACUCUUGCUUGUCCUUUGUCUUCACUGCUUCAUUCUCCGCUUGACGAGUCAUCUGCCCGUUUCAUUACUGCUUCACUUGUCUCUGCCUUAGAAGAUAUACACAAGAACGGCAUACUCUUCAGAGGUUCAUCUCCCGAUUUACUGAUGUUGGAUCAAUCCGGAUAUCUACAGAUUGUAGACUUCAGAUUCUCCAAGAAACUGUCCGGGGAACGAACAUUUACAAUCUGUGGAAAUGCAGAUUAUUUAGCCCCGGAAAUUGUUCAAGGCAGAGGUCAUGGUUUCGCAGCUGACUGGUGGGCACUUGGAGUUUUGAUCUACUAUAUGCUAGAAGGUGAAAUGCCAUUCGGGUCAUGGAGAGAAAACGAGCUAGACACGUUUCAGAAGAUUGCUAAAGGCCAAUUAACUUUCCCUCGAGAUCUAAGCUCAGAAGCGGAAGAUCUCAUCACAAAGUUGCUUGAAGUUGAUGAAAACCUGCGGUUAGGUAGCAAAGAAGGUCCCGAGUCAAUCAAGAUACAUCCCUGGUUCAAUGGACUUAACUGGGGAGGGAUUAGUACCCGCGGAUUUCAAGUUCCUCAAGAGAUAAUCUCGCGCAUCUAUCACCAUCUUGAGAAUGACACCGUUCUUCCUCUAGAAACUUCCCAGUCGCUGGACAAUACAGAGGAUCAAGAUGCUCAAAACUGGCUUGAAGAAUGGUAAAAACAGAUUUUCAACAAAACCGCGACCUCUUUCCCGCGUCUAUUCAAUUCAAAUGUCCAUGCUUUACAGGAGUUCUCUGUUUUGUUCUGGCGGCGUAGCCUGCAGUAUUCAAACUUGGAGAAGGAAUAUUCUAGAAUUAUAACCAUACAGUUGUUUAGGUCAUAAACAAAAGAGAAUUUUACGGCCAACAAAUCCGACGGCUUCCAUCUUUGAAAUUAUAAGGUUCAAUUUCAUCUAUGUA